rnacentral:misc_RNA from 1 species
GUCCUGUCCAUGAAAAAAUGUUGAAAAAAUAUUGCAUUAAAAGCACAAAACGAAGACACAUUUUUCCACAUAAGCAUACCAUGGCUUCCCAUCUUUGCCAAGUGAUUAACAUGAUUGGAGUUGCAGGGUCCCAGCUUGUCAAUGAUAAACAUCUAAUUCUCUUCCUGCUGCUUUUGAGCUUCAGACAUUUCCUUUAUUAAAAUCGCUACCAUUUCCUCAUUUCCUAACUUCAUAUAUCCUUCAAUAAAAGCACCAUAAAUCUUUGGAUUUGGCUCAAACCCUUUGCCUGCCAUCUUGGCCUGAAGCUUCAAUGCUUCUUCCAUCUUACCAUCCUCGCAUAACCCGUUAAUCAAGAACUCGUAACUCUUCCCACUUGGAUGAAAACUAACAUUUCUCAUUGCAAUCCUCAUAAUCUCCAAAGCUUCAGAAACUUUUUUCUUCUCACAGAGCCCUCCAACCAACAAGUCUAUAGUUGAAGCUUCAGGCCUAAAAUC